CUGGGUCCAACCUCCCACCCGUGUUUAUUUUACCUUGUUGCUUCGGCGGGCCCGCCUUAACUGGCCGCCGGGGGGCUUACGCCCCCGGGCCCGCGCCCGCCGAAGACACCCUCGAACUCUGUCUGAAGAUUGAAGUCUGAGUGAAAAUAUAAAUUAUUUAAAACUUUCAACAACGGAUCUCUUGGUUCCGGCAUCGAUGAAGAACGCAGCGAAAUGCGAUACGUAAUGUGAAUUGCAAAUUCAGUGAAUCAUCGAGUCUUUGAACGCACAUUGCGCCCCCUGGUAUUCCGGGGGGCAUGCCUGUCCGAGCGUCAUUGCUGCCCUCAAGCCCGGCUUGUGUGUUGGGCCCCGUCCCCCGAUCUCCGGGGGACGGGCCCGAAAGGCAGCGGCGGCACCGCGUCCGGUCCUCGAGCGUAUGGGGCUUUGUCACCCGCUCUGUAGGCCCGGCCGGCGCUUGCCGAUCAACCCAAAUUUUUAUCCAGGUUGACCUCGGAUCAGGUAGGGAUACCCGCUGAACUUAAGCAUAUCAAUAGACGGAGGA
rnacentral:rRNA from 1 species